GUCGAGCUUGGUAACGUGGGCUUGUGAUCCAAGUGGAGACAACAAGAUGUUGGAAUCUUGGGCCGAUCUCAUUAGGCCGGGUUUGGGGUGGCUAUUUACUGGCCUGCCCAUUCCAAGUCGGGAGUUGAGGGUUAGGGCUCGAGCGAAGGCUUGUGGUUCGGACACUCUUAGAGCGGAGGAGACUGCGUGAGGCUGGUUUCACAGAGCAGCGUCCACCUCCCGCUUUCGACGGUGGAAGGAUUACGGGCCGGUGCCUUCUGAGCCCACUAUGACCUAAUAAGCUGGUUUCAACUGGGACCAACAAUCUUU
rnacentral:SRP_RNA from 1 species